rnacentral:rRNA from 1 species
GGACUACCGGGGUAUCUAAUCCUGUUCGCUCCCCACGCUUUCGCUCCUCAGCGUCAGGUAAGGCCCAGAGAACCGCCUUCGCCACCGGUGUUCCUCCCGAUAUCUGCGCAUUUCACCGCUACACCGGGAAUUCCAUUCUCCCCUACCUACCUCUAGUCUGCCCGUAUCCACUGCAAGCUGGGGGUUAAGCCCCCAGUUUUCACAGCAGACGUAACAAACCGCCUACGAGCUCUUUACGCCCAAUGAUUCCGGACAACGCUUGCGCCCUACGUGUUACCGCGGCUGCUGGCAC